rnacentral:tRNA from 1 species
GCGCAAGUGGCGGAACUGGUAGACGCGCCACCUUGAGGGGGUGGUGGGCUUUAAGCUCGUGGAGGUUCAAGUCCUCUCUUGCGCACCA